rnacentral:rRNA from 1 species
UACGAAGGGUGCAAGCGUUACUCGGAAUUACUGGGCGUAAAGCGUGCGUAGGUGGUUUGUUAAGUCUGAUGUGAAAGCCCUGGGCUCAACCUGGGAAUUGCAUUGGAUACUGGCAGGCUAGAGUGCGGUAGAGGAUGGCGGAAUUCCCGGUGUAGCAGUGAAAUGCGUAGAGAUCGGGAGGAACAUCUGUGGCGAAGGCGGCCAUCUGGACCAGCACUGACACUGAGGCACGAAAGCAUGGGGAGCAAACAGG